CAGUAGCCGCGGUAAAACGAAGGGUGCAAGCGUUAAUCGGAAUUACUGGGCGUAAAGCGUGCGCAGGCGGUUGUGUAAGACAGGUGUGAAAUCCCCGGGCUUAACCUGGGAACUGCGCUUGUGACUGCACAGCUAGAGUAUGGCAGAGGGGGGUGGAAUUCCACGUGUAGCAGUGAAAUGCGUAGAGAUGUGGAGGAACACCGAUGGCGAAGGCAGCCCCCUGGGCCAAUACUGACGCUCAUGCACGAAAGCGUGGGGAGCAAACAGGAUUAGAUACCCCCGUAGUCCCUGUCUCUUAUAU
rnacentral:rRNA from 1 species